GACGAACGCUGGCGGCGUGCCUAAUACAUGCAAGUCGAGCGAGCUUGCCUAGAUGAAUUUGGUGCUUGCACCAAAUGAAACUAGAUACAAGCGAGCGGCGGACGGGUGAGUAACGCGUGGGUAACCUGCCCAAGAGACUGUGAUAACACCUGGAAACAGAUGCUAAUACCGGAUAACACCACUAGACGCAUGUCUAGAGUUUAAAAGCUGGUUCUGCUUUCACUCUUGGAUGGCCCUUCGGUGCAUUCGCUAGUUGGUAAGGCAACGGCUUACCAAGGCAAUGAUGCAUAGCCGAGUUGAGAGACUGAUCGGCCACAUUGGGACUGAGACACGGCCCAAACUCCUACGGGAGGCAGCAGUAGGGAAUCUUCCACAAUGGACGCAAGUCUGAUGGAGCAACGCCGCGUGAGUGAAGAAGGGUUUCGGCUCGUAAAGCUCUGUUGGUAGUGAAGAAAGAUAGAGGUAGUAACUGGCCUUUAUUUGACGGUAAUUACUUAGAAAGUCACGGCUAACUACGUG
rnacentral:rRNA from 1 species